UGAGAAAGCUGGUGCACAGGAAGCUGAACCACCGGCCCACUGCCCACUCUGUGGCAAAGCUGGGCUUUGAAUUUAGGUCUAGGCACGGAAAGGUCUGUCUUCCUCGAGAGACUGAGGUGGGAGGCUUUCUGUAGGGUGAAGUCUGCGGCCUCCACG
rnacentral:lncRNA from 1 species